rnacentral:lncRNA from 1 species
GAAUAAUUGAAUUUGCUUACUUAUGACAUCCAGAGCCGCCUGUGGCCUGGAACAGGAGGUGGAGAUGUUCAUGGACAGGGGCACUGCAGGUUGCCCGGGGCCUCUUCAGUCGUCUUCAUCAGAGUGAGAGCUUAGGAGGCAGAGCUCAAGGGCCAGAUGUCCCAGCGGUCCUGUCACCUGCACCUGUCCUCGUGGCCACGACCUGGAACACUCAAACAGGAGAUUCCGAGAGACAACAGUUCGGAUCAGGGCCUUCCGG